rnacentral:rRNA from 1 species
UACGAAGGGGGCUAGCGUUGCUCGGAAUCACUGGGCGUAAAGCGCACGUAGGCGGAUUGCUAAGUCAGGGGUGAAAUCCUGGGGCUCAACUCCAGAACUGCCUUUGAUACUGGCGACCUUGAGUCCGGGAGAGGUGAGUGGAACUGCGAGUGUAGAGGUGAAAUUCGUAGAUAUUCGGAGGAACACCAGUGGCGAAGGCGGCUCGCUGGCUCGAUACUGACGCUGAGGUGCGAAAGCGUGGGGAGCAAACAGG